AUGAACGCUGGUGGCGUGCCUAAUACAUGCCAGUCGCGCGAACAGACGAGGAGCUUGCUCCUCUGACGUUAGCGGCGGACGGGUGAGUAACACGUGGAUAACCUACCUAUAAGACUGGGAUAACUUCGGGAAACCGGAGCUAAUACCGGAUAAUAUAUUGAACCGCAUGGUUCAAUAGUGAAAGACGGUUUUGCUGUCACUUAUAGAUGGAUCCGCGCCGCAUUAGCUAGUUGGUAAGGUAACGGCUUACCAAGGCAACGAUGCGUAGCCGACCUGAGAGGGUGAUCGGCCACACUGGAACUGAGACACGGUCCAGACUCCUACGGGAGGCAGCAGUAGGGAAUCUUCCGCAAUGGGCGAAAGCCUGACGGAGCAACGCCGCGUGAGUGAUGAAGGUCUUCGGAUCGUAAAACUCUGUUAUUAGGGAAGAACAAAUGUGUAAGUAACUAUGCACGUCUUGACGGUACCUAAUCAGAAAGCCACGGCUAACUACGUG
rnacentral:rRNA from 1 species